rnacentral:rRNA from 1 species
UACAGAGGUCUCAAGCGUUGUUCGGAUUCAUUGGGCGUAAAGGGUGUGUAGGUGGCGCCGUAAGUCGGGUGUGAAAUUUCGGAGCUUAACUCCGAAACUGCAUUCGAUACUGCGGUGCUUGAGGACUGGAGAGGAGACUGGAAUUCAUGGUGUAGCAGUGAAAUGCGUAGAGAUCAUGAGGAAGACCAGUGGCGAAGGCGGGCCUCUGGGCAGUAACUGACGCUGAGGAGCGAAAGCGUGGGGAGCGAACAGGA